rnacentral:misc_RNA from 1 species
GAUGAAGAACGUAGCGAAAUGCGAUACGUAAUGUGAAUUGCAAAUUCAGUGAAUCAUCGAGUCUUUGAACGCACUUUGCGCCCCCUGGUAUUCCGGGGGGCAUGCCUGUCCGAGCGUCAUUGCUGCCCUCAAGCACGGCUUGUGUGUUGGGCCCCGUCCUCCGAUCCCGGGGGACGGGCCCGAAAGGCAGCGGCGGCACCGCGUCCGGUCCUCGAGCGUAUGGGGCUUUGUCACCCGCUCUGUAGGCCCGGCCGGCGCUUGCCGAUCAACCCAAAUUUUUAUCCAGGUUGACCUCGGAUCAGGUAGGGAUACCCGCUGAACUUAAGCAUAUCAAUAAGCGGAGGA